GAUGAACGCUGGCGGCGUGCCUAAUACAUGCAAGUCGAGCGAACAGACGAGGAGCUUGCUCCUCUGACGUUAGCGGCGGACGGGUGAGUAACACGUGGAUAACCUACCUAUAAGACUGGGAUAACUUCGGGAAACCGGAGCUAAUACCGGAUAAUAUAUUGAACCGCAUGGUUCAAUAGUGAAAGACGGUUUUGCUGUCACUUAUAGAUGGAUCCGCGCCGCAUUAGCUAGUUGGUAAGGUAACGACUUACCAAGGCAACGAUGCGUAGCCGACCUGAGAGGGUGAUCGGCCACACUGGAACUGAGACACGGUCCAGACUCCUACGGGAGGCAGCAGCAGGGAAUCUUCCGCAAUGGGCGAAAGCCUGACGGAGCAACGCCGCGUGAGUGAUGAAGGUCUUCGGAUCGUAAAACUCUGUUAUUAGGGAAGAACAAAUGUGUAAGUAACUAUGCACGUCUUGACGGUACCUAAUCAGAAAGCCACGGCUAACUACGUG
rnacentral:rRNA from 1 species